AACUCCUACCAACUAAGAAAUAUCAAAAAAAAAAAUUAGGAAAGUGGAAGUUGAAGAGUACUUGCAGGUGCAGCGCCUCUUCCUCGAUACAUAAUCAAAUCGGAGCUGAAACUCUACUUCAAUUCGGCGUAAUUGUAUACCCUUGAAACCCUUUGUUUUCUCCUCGUAGAUUUCAUGUGGAUCCAAGCUCGUGUAGAUUAUGUGGAAAGAGGGUAAUCCAUCCAUUUAACCUCAGGUUGUGUAUGGAUUUUUGGGAUUUACACUAUUGUACAGGUUGUGCAAAGUAUUCUGGACUUGAAAAAAUUGUCAGGUACACAAUUGAACCCAACCAAUUAUUCUCUUCUCUUUUGGACUGAUUGUUCGAAAUAACCAAUUUCGAAGUUAUUCUGCUAUGUGUAUUGUGAAAUAAUAAACCUACUAUAGAUGUUAAUUGACUGCUACAAUCUAUGAGUCUUGAUUUUAUACCAUAUGAAACACCCUAAACUCUCACCAGGUGCAUGGUAUGUCAACCAACUGAAAUUCAUUCAGACAUCAUAUAAUGUGUAGUAGCUUUUAUCAUCUAAUAUAGCUUUAUCAGUAUCAUAUGUAAAGUAUAUUCUAAUCAAACCAUUUAUACUCUUGUAGUGUUUGACUGCCUUAUCCUCAAUUGUGGUGUGCUUUGUUUAUCUAAGAUGAUAAUUCUCUUGGCUGUAUCCGGAACCUCUUGGAGAGAUCUUAAUUCAUAUGUACCUGCAAAAAGAAAAACCAAGUUAGCAAAAAAAUCAGCAAGAGUAUUUCCCUCCCUUAAGGAGUGUUGUACUCUUACUGACAUGGAAUUCCUCAAUCUAUUGAUGGAAUUGACCUCCAUUGUCACAUUCCAAGGUAUUUCCCACUCUCCCUUCAGCAUAUGUACCAAAGCCAACUAGUCAGUUUCAAUUAUAAUGUUUGGAAAGUUGUUUUCCAAACAACAUUGAAGACUUUCUCUAAUAGUAAUAGCUUCAGCCACUAGAUUAGUAGAAUCAGGGAUCCUCACCCCCUUAGCAAUCACCAGCUCUCCUUCGUGAUUUAUGAUACAAAAGGCAACAACACUAGGCCUAGGAUUACCUCUAUAAGCCCCAUCUGUAUUACAUUUCAACCACCCAGAUGGUGGAGGAUGCCAUUUAACCCAUUUAUAGACAAACCUAGGUCUGAAAGCAUCCAAUAGAGCAACCAUCUGUGGCCAAGUGGAGGGGACAUUAGUAUAUUGAAACUUUAACUUCAUAAAUUUCUGAACAGUACUAUUGAUGUCCCAAAUCACUUUACUUGUGGUGUAAUUACCACCAUGAAGCACAAUAUUUCUCCUUUUCCAUAAGAACCAUAAGAUUAUAUUAGGAAUAGCUUGAAACAUCACCUUUUGCCUAGUAUUUCCUUGAACAUCCCACCAUCUUUUAAUAGAUUGCUUCAACUAAAUCCAAGGCCCUAAUAUUCCAGCUGCAGAUGAGAAAUAUUGCCACACUUUGUUGGCAAUUUCACCUUUCAAAAAUAAGUGUUCCAUAGUUUCUCUUACUGGAACAGUACAACAUAAACAAAGUUGAGACUGAUUAGGAUUCCAAUUAGCUAUAACAGCAGCUGCUGGAGCUCUAUUAGUCCAAAUCCUCCAACUAAAGAAAGAUAUCUUAAAAGGAAGAUCUUGCACCCAUAUCAUCUUACAAUUUUCAUUUACUUCCUUUUUUCCCCUCAAAAUCUCCCAUGCACUCUUAACUGAGAACUUUUCAAUGCUUGUCUUGAUCCACCACGGUUUGUCUCCCAUAUCAGUCUGUCUAAUAUGAUCCAUAUGCUGCCUAAUAUGUUCCACAACAUGAUAAGGCAGAUGAUCAUACAUACUAUCAUAAUCCCACCCUACUUCCUUCA